GGGGGAGAAUGGGCAUCCCACCCCAGCACUUUCUAGGAAGAAGGGCAGCAUUUUGAAGGGCUGGAAGUAGAGGAAGGAGGUUGCGGGUAGAAGACUCCAUACUUUCUGUGACGCCUAUUCCUUAGCUUGUGAUGAAUGUUUUCUCAGUAUCCUAUGCUGAAAACAGAACAACAGAAGUUUCAACAUUCUGCCAACAGAGUAACUCCUGGAAGAUUGGCACAGAAGAAGGCACAAGGAGAGCCUUUAUAUAACCAAAGAUAUUUUUGGACCAUGAAUUCAGAAAUUCUCGGAGCCACCCAUCAGUGCCUGAGCUUCAGUGAGUCCAUAUCCCAUGUCACCCACGGCAAAGGAGACUCUAAGACUUCUGAAGAGUUUCUUGCUUCUUUCCUGUGGGGCAGUGACUCCACUUCCCAGCAGUAAUGGAAUAUCCUGAAUUAGCUACAUUAAUGUUAGAACCAUUUGGACCUCACCCAGGACUUCAACUACAUUAUGCUAAAGUUACAGAACCCAAAUUUGGCAACUGUCUGCAUCUGAACAACAGAAGUUUCAACAUUCUGCCAACAGAGUAACUCCUGGACGAUUGGCACAGAAGAAGGCACAAGGCAAAUACCCAUCUCUGUACACCCUGUGCUACUGUGUCAUGUGCUGCUCCAGGCAACUCCAAUGGAUUGGCCACCCUGGCCAAUGUGUUCUAGUAUGUUACGUUUAUGUUCCCCUGCUUUCUACAAUCCUGUUCAAAGAGUUGCUGACUUAACCACAGAGAGGAUUCCAGAA
rnacentral:lncRNA from 1 species